rnacentral:rRNA from 1 species
GUGGGGAAUAUUGGACAAUGGGCGCAAGCCUGAUCCAGCCAUGCCGCGUGAGUGAUGAAGGCCUUAGGGUUGUAAAGCUCUUUCAGUGGGGACGAUAAUGACGGUACCCACAGAAGAAGCCCCGGCUAACUUCGUGCCAGCAGCCGCGGUAAUACGAAGGGGGCUAGCGUUGUUCGGAUUUACUGGGCGUAAAGCGCUCGUAGGCGGAUCGUUAAGUCGGGGGUGAAAUCCUGGAGCUCAACUCCAGAACUGCCUUCGAUACUGGCGAUCUUGAGUCCGGAAGAGGUGAGUGGAACUCCUAGUGUAGAGGUGGAAUUCGUAGAUAUUAGGAAGAACACCAGUGGCGAAGGCGGCUCACUGGUCCGGUACUGACGCUGAGGUGCGAAAGCGUGGGGAGCAAACAGGAUUAGAAACCCUAGUAGUCC